rnacentral:rRNA from 1 species
GUGCCUAACACAUGCAAGUCGAACGAGAAAGUCCGCAAGGAUGAGUAAAGUGGCGACCGGGUGAGUAACACGUGACUAACCUGCCCUUGAGUGGGGGAUAACCUCGGGAAACCGGGGCUAAUACCGCAUAACAUCGCAAGAUCAAAGGAGCAAUCCGCUGAAGGAGGGGGUCGCGGCUGAUUAGUUAGUUGGUGAGGUAACGGCUCACCAAGACGAAGAUCAGUAGCCGGCCUGAGAGGGCGCACGGCCACACUGGAACUGAAACACGGUCCAG